rnacentral:rRNA from 1 species
CCUACGCGUGGCAGCAGUGAGGAAUAUUGGUCAAUGGGCGAGAGCCUGAACCAGCCAAGUCGCGUGAAGGAUGAAGGAUCUAUGGUUUGUAAACUUCUUUUAUAUGGGAAUAAAGUGAGGAACGUGUUCCUUUUUGUAUGUACCAUAUGAAUAAGCAUCGGCUAACUCCGUGCCAGCAGCCGCGGUAAUACGGAGGAUGCGCGCGUUAUCCGGAUUUAUGGGGUUUAAGGGGUGCGUAGGUGGUUAAUUAAGUCAGCGGUGAAAGUUUGUGGCUCAACCAUAAAACUGCCGUUGAAACUGGUGGACCUGAGGAUAUUUGAGGGAGGCGGAAUGCGUGGUGUAGCGGUGAAAUGCAUAGAUAUCACGCAGAACUCCGAUUGCGAAGGCAGCUUACUAAACUAUAACUGACACUGAAGCACGAAAGCGUGGGGAUCAAACAGGAUUAGAUACCCUUGUAGUC